GAGCCGUCUUUGUCCGAGAAGCGGUUGAGGCCCGAUGUGUCAUUCCUGGAUUUUCUCUGUCAUCCAGCAGGCCAUGGGGUCGCAGCUGCUCCGGACGUUCUGCA
ensembl:miRNA gga-mir-6566 gga-mir-6566